AAGGACCAGUUGUUAGAACAUUACCAUAUGAGGUAGUCCCACUCCAUUAAAGCAAUAAAGUGAAACAACUCAUCUACUUUAGUAAAAAGUGGAAAGAUGAGCUGGUGGAAUAUAUUCUGCAUGUUCUCUUAUUUUUCUUCUUGUUCUAUCAUUCAUGUCUACAAAUAGAUAUCAAGAAAGCAUUGCAAUGUGUGUGGAAAAAGCAAGAGAGAAAGAGUGGGUGAGUUUGAGAGCUUGUAAUCUUUUUCUUAUUUUAAAAUAAAAACAGU